UACGUAGGGUGCGAGCGUUAAUCGGAAUUACUGGGCGUAAAGCGUGCGCAGGCGGUUGUGCAAGACAGAUGUGAAAUCCCCGGGCUCAACCUGGGAACUGCAUUUGUGACUGCACGGCUGGAGUGCGGCAGAGGGAGAUGGAAUUCCGCGUGUAGCAGUGAAAUGCGUAGAUAUGCGGAGGAACACCGAUGGCGAAGGCAAUCCCCUGGGCCUGCACUGACGCUCAUGCACGAAAGCGUGGGGAGCAAACAGG
rnacentral:rRNA from 1 species